UGAGGAAAGCCUCUUGCCCGGUUAGGUUACCAGUCCACAGCUAGUGACUUGUGGCUGAGUUUUAGCCUCCCUUUGUCUCUCAAGUCCCUGCUACUACUCUCCUCAGACUGCCCCGCGUGCAGACACUGGCUCCAGGCCUUCAUCUUAGGAUCAGACAAAGGGCAGCAAGGUCACAAAAGGCAGGCUCCAGCCACAUGCCUUUGAAGAGGUCCCCGACACAGGGAGCCAGCGCUUGGAGACACUGGUUGAGCCAGUGGUUCCCAGGCAGCUUCUGUUUAUCUGUUCCUCUGUUGAUUUCCUGGCUUUUCGGACUUCUGUUUCGGAAGCAAUUUUUGAAGUUUAGAGUUAUUGCUGUACUAGCUCUGGACACUUUGUCCAAGCGAGCGCAUAACGGGACGUGAAAUCAGAGGUGACUGAAGCCGGCUUCCUGGGUCAGGCUGCUGCAGUCAGGCCACUGGGUUUCCUAGGCAGGAAAGACAAGCUGCAAACUGGCGAUCCCGGAGGGCCUCACAUCAUAGCCCAGGCUGACCUGGAAUUCCUGGAACUCCUGUGUUGCAGCCUCUGGAGCACUGGGAUUACAGGAGAGAGCCACCACAACUGGCUGCAACCACUUUCUCACAGCUGUCACGGAUGCAUGAAAGCUGAGUGGCCAGGCUGGGAGACACACAGAUGACUCAGAACCAUCUUGCAGACUCCAUCUAGAGUUCUUUGGAAAGAGGUGGAGUGGAGUGUUUGCAAGAGAGGGAUAUCCUCAAGCCCCACAUGAAAAAAAUGGAUGUCCUUGGACUGCAGAUUACUCUCUCUCUCUUGAUUUAAUCUGUGACACUGGCUUGCCACACUGCCAGUGGGGGCCUGGGUUAGGGCCGUGGUCCUGAAAAAUAAACAGUUCCCAAUGCCAUAA